rnacentral:rRNA from 1 species
UGGGGAAUUUUGGACAAUGGGGGCAACCCUGAUCCAGCCAUGCCGCGUGAGUGAAGAAGGCCUUCGGGUUGUAAAGCUCUUUCGGCCGGGAAGAAAUCGCAUGGGUUAAUACCCUGUGCGGAUGACGGUACCGGCAUAAGAAGCACCGGCUAACUACGUGCCAGCAGCCGCGGUAAUACGUAGGGUGCGAGCGUUAAUCGGAAUUACUGGGCGUAAAGCGUGCGCAGGCGGUUUUGUAAGACAGGCGUGAAAUCCCCGGGCUCAACCUGGGAACUGCGCUUGUGACUGCAAGGCUAGAGUACGGCAGAGGGGGGUGGAAUUCCACGUGUAGCAGUGAAAUGCGUAGAGAUGUGGAGGAACACCAAUGGCGAAGGCAGCCCCCUGGGUCGAUACUGACGCUCAUGCACGAAAGCGUGGGUAGCAAACA